rnacentral:tRNA from 1 species
GCGGAAGUGGCGGAAUUGGUAGACGCGCAGGAUUCAGGUUUCUGUGGGCGAAAGUCCGUGAAGGUUCGAGUCCUUUCUUCCGCA